rnacentral:rRNA from 1 species
UGGGAGAUCUUGCACAAUGGACGAAAGUCUGAUGCAGCGACGCCGCGUGAGCGAUGAAGCCUCGGGUGUGAAGCAUCUUUCGGCAGGAACGAUAAUGACGGUACCUGAAGAAGAAGCUGCGGCUAACUACGUGCCAGCAGCCGCGGUAAUACGUAGGCAGCAAGCGUUGUUCGGAAUUACUGGGCGUAAAGAGUGUGUAGGCGGUGCUCUAAGUUUGGUGUGAAAUCUCCCGGCUCAACUGGGAGGGUGCGCCGAAAACUGGAAUGCUCGAACAU